rnacentral:rRNA from 1 species
CCUACGGGCGGCAGCAGUGGGGAAUAUUGGGCAAUGGAGGCAACUCUGACCCAGCAACGCCGCGUGAAUGAUGAAGGUCUUCGGAUUGUAAAGCUCUGUGAUGGGGGAUGAACACAAUGACGGUACUCCAAUAGCAAGCCUCGGCUAACGACGUGCCAGCAGCCGCGGUAAGACGUAGGUGGCAAGCGUUAACCGGAAUGACUGGGGGUAAAGGGUGCGUAGGUGGUUUCGUAAGGUGGCGGUGAAAUUCCGGGGCUCAACCUCGGCGCUACCGCAAAAACUAUUAGACUAGAGUGCAGGAGGGGUAAGUGGAAUUCCUAGUGUAGCGGUGAAAUGCGUAGAUAUUAGGAGGAACAUCGGGGGCGAAGGCGACAUACUGGACUGUAACUGACACUGAGGCACGAAAGCGUGGGGAGCAAACAGGAUUAGAUACCCCGGUAGUC